rnacentral:rRNA from 1 species
UCAAGCUACAAAGGGCGUACGGCGGAUGCCUUGGGACAGAAGGCCGAUGAAGGACGCGGUCAGCGGCGAAACGCUUCGGGGAGCUGCAAACAAGCUUCGAUCCGGAGAUUUCCGAAUGGGGUAACCCGGUCCGAGUAAUGUCGGAUCACCCUUGAUGCCGUGAGGUAUUAAGGGCGGGCACCUGGGGAACUGAAACAUCUUAGUACCCGGAGGAAGAGAAAAUAUCAAUGAUUCUCCUAGUAGUGGCGAGCGAACGGAGAAGAGCCUAAACCUAUAUUGCGUGAUAGCUUACAGGCGUUGCAAUAUGGGGGUAGCGGGAUCUUGCGUGGGAGUGCUGUAACCUCCUUAAAGAGUCAAAAAUCCUGUGUCUAGCCAAACGGUAUGGGAAGGCCGGCCACAGCGGGUGAAAGCCCCGUAGGCGAAAGGCAGAGGACUCUUUGCAAGACACCCAAGUACCACGGGACACGAGAAACCCUGUGGGAAUCCGGCAGGACCACCUGCUAAGGCUAAAUACCUUCUGUCACCGAUAGUGAACUAGUACCGUGAGGGAAAGUUGAAAAGAACCCCGGAAGGGGAGUGAAAUAGAACCUGAAACCGUAUGCCUACAAGCAGUGGGAGCACUAUGCCGUUAGCAAUAACGGAACGUGUGACCGCGUGCCUUUUGCAUAAUGAUCCGGCGAGUUAAUUUGUGUAGCAAGGUUAAGCGCUAAUGGCGCGGAGCCGAAGCGAAAGCGAGUCCUAAUAGGGCGUCUAGUUGCACUGAUUAGACCCGAAACCGAGUGAUCUACCCAUGGCCAGGGUGAAUCCAGGGUAAGACCUGGUGGAGGCCCGAACCAGUGUCGGUUGAAAACGGCUUGGAUGAGCUGUGGGUAGUGGUGAAAUGCUAAUCGAACUCGGAUAUAGCUGGUUCUCCUCGAAAUGCAUUUAGGUGCAGCCUUGCGUAUUCUGUUCUGCAGGUAGAGCACUGGAUAGGCUAGGGGCCUUACCAGGUUACCGAACCUAACCAAACUCCGAAUGGCAGAACAUCAAGCGCAGGAGUGAGACUGCGGGGGAUAAGCUUCGUAGUCGAAAGGGAAACAGCCCAGACCAUCAGCUAAGGUCCCUAAGAGCUGGCUAAGUGUAAAAGGAUGUAGAGUUGCAUAGACAACCAGGAUGUUGGCUUAGAAGCAGCCAUCAUUUAAAGAGUGCGUAACAGCUUACUGGCCGAAUGUGAUUCUGCGCCGAUAAUGUAAGGGGGCUUAAGCCAGCCACCGAAGCUAUGGACUUCAAUGCAUAUUGAAGUGGUAGAGGAGCGUUCCAUGGGGGAUGAAGCCUGAGCGUAAGUACAGGUGGACUGCAUGGAAGUGAGGAUGCCGGAAUAAGUAGCGAAUAGAAAAGUGAGAAUCUUUUCCGCCGAAAACCUAAGGGUUCUUAAGGAAGGAUCGUCCACUUGAGUUUAGUCGGGCCUAAGCCGAGUCCUAGAAAACUAGGGGUAGGCGAUGGACAACUGGUUGAUAUUCCAGUACCAGGUGUACACGUUAUGAGCAAUGGGGAGACGCGGAUGAUGUCUCUAAGCACGGGAUUGGUUGACCGUGUUCUGCUGUAGGGAUUCCGGAUAGGUAAAUCCGUUCGGUACUAAGUUCUGGCAGCAGACGACUGGAGAAGAAAUUCAAAGGGAAGUAGGGAUUGAUUCCGCCUAGAAAAACCUCUAGCCAGUGUGCAUCUGCCCGUACCGCAAACCGACACAGGUAGGUAGGUAGAGAAUACUAAGGCGUGCGAGAUAACUCUCGUUAAGGAACUAGGCAAGUUAACCCCGUAACUUCGGGAGAAGGGGUGCCCUGGUGGAUUGGUGCUGUAACGCAUCUGUUCAUUGGGGUCGCAGUGACAAGGCUCGAGCGACUGUUUACCAAAAACACAGGUCUCUGCUAAGGGGAAACCCUAUGUAUAGGGGCUGACGCCUGCCCAAUGCUAGAAGGUUAACAGGAGGGGUCACCGUAAGGGAAGCUCUGAAUCGAAGCCCUAGUGAAUGGCGGCCGUAACUAUAACGGUCCUAAGGUAGCGAAAUUCCUUGUCGGGUAAG